rnacentral:rRNA from 1 species
UACGGGGGGGGCAAGCGUUGUUCGGAAUUACUGGGCGUAAAGGGCUCGUAGGCGGCCACCUAAGUCAGACGUGAAAUCCUGGAGCUCAACUCCAGAACUGCCUUUGAUACUGGUGAGCUUGAGUCCGGAAGAGGCGAGUGGAAUUCCUGGUGUAGCGGUGGAAUGCGCAGAUAUCAGGAGGAACACCGAUGGCGAAGGCAGCUCGCUGGGACGGUACUGACGCUGAGGCGCGAAAGCGUGGGGAGCGAACAGG